UACAGAGACUGCAAGCGUUAUUCGGAUUCACUGGGCGUAAAGGGCGCGUAGGCGGCCCGCUAAGUCGAACGUGAAAUCCCCGAGCUCAACUCGGGAACUGCGUCCGAUACUGGCGGGCUUGAAUCCGGGAGAGGGAUGCGGAAUUCCAGGUGUAGCGGUGAAAUGCGUAGAUAUCUGGAGGAACACCGGUGGCGAAGGCGGCAUCCUGGACCGGCAUUGACGCUGAGGCGCGAAAGCUAGGGGAGCAAACGGG
rnacentral:rRNA from 1 species